CCAACAUGAAUAUCUAGGAGGCCACUCUCCUCAGACAUUGUUCAAGUGGCAUGAGGGAACGCAAGGCUCAAUUUUUUUUCUACACAGUCCCUUUCCACAAUACUGAACAAAACCCUAGGCCUUGGAUCUGCGCCUGCACCUGCCAACAGCUUCUGAUUCCUGUGUACCGUGGCUAGGAGACAAACCAUGCAGGAACCAGCU